rnacentral:rRNA from 1 species
AGCGAACGCUGGCGGCGUGCCUAACACAUGCAAGUCGAGCGCGGGCAUUUCGGGGGUAACCCGGGACUGUGCUGAGCGGCGGACGAGUGAGUAAUACGUGGACAACCUGCCUUAAAGCUUGGGAGUAACUCCGGGAAACUGGAGCUAAUACCGGAUAAGACCACGGUGUCUAUGGAUGCUGAGGUAAAAGGCGGCCAGGAAACUGGCUGUUGCUUAAAGAUGGGUCCACGUCCCAUCAGGUAGUUGGUGAGGU